AGGCCGAACCCUGACCCACCGGCAGGACCCGUCCCAGCAGGCCCCGCGCCCGCCCCUCACGUGACGUUAUUAAAGGAGGCGAGGGGGCGGGGGAAAAGAACAGAGGAGAGGGAAGUGAAGAGCGACGGAGGCCGGUUGGGAAGCUGGCGCCGGAAGUGGUGCGAUGGGUGGGCCCCUACGGAAUGAGGCGGGGCUCCAAGCGCGGUGGGCAGAGCCACGCAGGAGACGCGCUACUGUAGGCUUGGGUCCCACCAGGCCUGUGGCAAAGCCGUGCGAAGUGCAAGGGCUGACCCUGUGAGUCUGCGUUCGAGAUCCGUGCUGUCACAGUGGUGCGGGAGCUCCCUCGCCUUCCACGCGGGCCGGGCCUGUUUGGAGCCCCAAAGGCUUUCCCUAGAAACAGUAGGCAAAUAAUGUGGCUGUUCACCCUGCUUCCCACGCUCCCCGUAGAGCAGCCAGGGACACCUGCUCACGGAAGAGUGUGCUGCCCGCGCGGUGUGUGCCUGUUUCCCGUGGCGCCGGUCUGAGCAAACCUUGUAUCGUUUAAAUACAACCAGGCUUUUAGAAACGGACUAUCACUAACGUGGACUCAACCAGAGUACAGGUCCCCUUCUGAAUACCUUGGAUCUCAAUCCCUUAUGUGAGAAUCCCAUACAAGAUCACAAAUCUCUUUGAGAAGUUGAUGACAUCAGCAUUCUGGAGGGGUGCAAACUCUAAUCAGAGGCCUCCAGUCAGGUUGAGCAGUGUGCACAAGAGCAAGGAGAUCGGAUAUUGGAAGGUGUGUUCGGAGUUCUGCAAGCAGUGGAUUGGACAAGAGCGGGGAUGUCAGGAAAGUAGGAGGGUGGCAUCCCACCAAAGAAGGUCAAGAAAGUCCUUGAGGACCCAGGACAAAUACGUCAGUGAGUUUGGUUACAAGCAACAAAACUCAACUGUGAGGAAAUUAACCGAGAAAAAAAAGGAAGUAUUGGUAAGAUGCUGCAUAGCUACAAGAUAUAAAGGAAGUGUAUCAGCUUAGGAAGGACAGACACCAGAGAAGCUGCAGAUCACAGCAACAGGAACUUCUACCCAGGCCAGGGGAGGCCCAUGACCUAGAAAAAGCAAAGCCUAUGAUGGGCAGCCCCAACAAGUCAUGUGGGAUGAUGAAGGAAAAAUUCCACCAAACAAAGAGUAUGUGGCGUAGUUACAGAAGAAGAGUGUGUGGUGCUGUUACCGAAGAAGAGUCUUGCUCCCAGUUGCGCCGCCCCUCAUCCCCCGUGUCUGGUGCAGACCUCGACACACAAUAGGCUCUUACUGAAUGCUUGGAAAAUGAAUGAUGUCAGAGAAAGAGAGAGAGAGAGAGAGAGAGAGAGCUAACACUACCUGCCAGACAGUGAGCAAGUGUUUCAAUGUUAUUGCAGUCAGUCUCUCGCAAUUCUACAAGUACACAUUAUCUGUUUUUCAAAUGAGGAAACUAAGACCAAAGAAGCAACGUGCCAAGGUCACUCAGUGAGCAAGUGAAAAAGCCUAGGAUCUUGAAAAUGUACUGUACUGCCUUUCUUCAGUGAGAAAUAUAUAAUGUUUUUCUCCAUGA